AUUACUUUGGCAGAAUUAUGCAUUAGAUUUAGGAUCUAAUUAUAUAGAAUUUAAUGUCUAUAGGUAAUA
rnacentral:tRNA from 1 species